rnacentral:rRNA from 1 species
GACAAGCGCUGGCGGCGUGCUUAACACAUGCAAGUCGAACGGAAAGGCCCUGCUUUUGUGGGGUGCUCGAGUGGCGAACGGGUGAGUAACACGUGAGUAACCUGCCCUUGACUUUGGGAUAACUUCAGGAAACUGGGGCUAAUACCGGAUAGGAGCUCCUGCUGCAUGGUGGGGGUUGGAAAGUUUCGGCGGUUGGGGAUGGACUCGCGGCUUAUCAGCUUGUUGGUGGGGUAGUGGCUUACCAAGGCUUUGACGGGUAGCCGGCCUGAGAGGGUGACCGGCCACAUUGGGACUGAGAUACGGCCCAGACUCCUACGGGAGGCAGCAGUGGGGAAUAUUGCACAAUGGGCGGAAGCCUGAUGCAGCAACGCCGCGUGCGGGAUGACGGCCUUCGGGUUGUAAACCGCUUUCGCCUGUGACGAAGCGUGAGUGACGGUAAUGGGUAAAGAAGCACCGGCUAACUACGUG